rnacentral:lncRNA from 1 species
UUAGGACUAACACAAGAUACACCAAACCAUCAUUGACCAAAAACAAAAAAACAAUUGAUUGAAUUUAAGUUGAGAAUGCAUAUUUACCACAACUAAAAUGGUGAAACCAUUACUAAAAUUCCCAUUAAGUGGUCUUAUCCUUAUAUAAAGGUCUAUCCUCUAAUAUAAAAAAAAUUAAUAUAGUAAGAAAAAAAAAGAAAGAGUGAGAAAUAGGAAAUUAAAGGAAAACAGAGAAAUGCCACAGUAUGCAAAGUUGUCGCAACGGCUACAUGUUCUUUUGUAAUAGAUUUCGUACGGGCCGUUUUCCUUUAUCCUCUCCCUCCUUUUUCCUCUCUUUAUAAGAUCCCGCUAAUCUCGCAAGAAAAAGGAACCCUAGUGAUCGAGGUCACGAAUAGACACAGGAAAGCAGCUCCAGGAUCUCACCUUUUGUGUUCUGACGGACCUUCCGUGCCCUCUCCGGUCUCAUCUCCACCGGGUUCCUCCUCGGCUCGUCGUCGUUUGCCGAUUUCUUGAUCCGGGCCUUACGUGACCGCCGGUGGUCAGGCCGAUGCCGGCGAAGCCGGGGCGG